GAGGGGCUCUAUCUUAUAUUGAGAAGAGCAUCCGCAUUGAUGAGAGGCAUAUACCAGGUUAUAUAAUGAAGGGAAAUAUAUACUUGUCAAUGAAUCGACCUGAAGCUGCUGUAGUUGCCUUCAGAGGAGCUCAACAAUUGAGACCUGAUCUUCGUUCUUAUCAAGGUUUAGUACGCUCUUAUUUAGCGAUUUCAAAUAUUAAGGAGGCACUAUAUGCUGCAAGGGAGGCGAUGAAGGCCAUGCCACAGUCAGCAAAAGCUCUAAAAUUGGUGGGUGACGUACAUGCUAGUAGCACUAGUGGGAGGGAAAAGGCGAAGAAGUUCUAUGAAUCUGCACUAAGGCUGGAACCUGGUUAUCUUGGAGCAGCGCUAGCCUUGGCAGAAUUGCAUGUCAUUGAAGGUCGAAAUGGAGAUGCUGUUACUCUCCUUGAGCGAUACCUCAAGGAUUGGGCUGAUGACUCGUUACAUGUUAAGCUUGCCCAAGUGUUUGCUGCUACAAAUAUGCUGCAAGAUGCCUUGUCACACUAUCAUGCAGCACUGAGGAUAAAUCCUCAAAAUGAAGCUGCAAAUAAAGGAUUGGAUCGCCUGGAGAAGCAACUCAAGGGAGUAGACCCUGAUGCUCCAGAAGAAGACGAGGAGAAUGAUGUGGAGGAUGCUGAUGCAGACCAGGAAGAAACCGAGCUCUUAUGAUGUGGAAUGGAAACAACACAUCAUAAGAUCUUCUCCUGGUCUGCUGCAUGCACUUAUAUGAGAAUUUGAUUCAGUAGGCAGACAUCUGAUAUAAAAGCAGCAGAAAUUGGCUUCACCAAGGAGUGGAUUAUUUCUAGCCUUACCCUGUUGUAAUUUAUUGUAGUCUCUUAUUCUGUCAAUGUAAAUUUAUCCCUGUACCAAAAAUUUAUUGACAUAAA
rnacentral:misc_RNA from 1 species